rnacentral:rRNA from 1 species
ACGCUCGACACCUACGGGAGGCAGCAGUCGGGAAUAUUGCGCAAUGGAGGAAACUCUGACGCAGUGACGCCGCGUAUAGGAAGAAGGUUUUCGGAUUGUAAACUAUUGUCGUUAGGGAAGAAAAAAGACAGUACCUAAGGAGGAAGCUCCGGCUAACUACGUGCUAGCAGCCGCGGUAAUCUGAGCGGGCUGGCAAGGC